CUAGUUGAGUUCUUUACUGCUGAGCCACAACAGGAACGCCACUACUACCCUAAUUAAGGGAAAAGGACAGGGUCCUGUCCUGCAGGCCUGAUGGUGACGGUGACAAGCCUCUCUGGCUUUCGUGGCUCUUGCCCCCUGGCUCUCAGGGACAAGGCGGCCUCACACAGAUGCCACAUUUGCGUAGCACAAGCACAAGCUGGCCUGGAGCGGGGAUGGCGGUACCACACACGGAGCCAGACACUUCUCGGUAUUUUAUUCAACAUUAAUGCACAAGCACAAGUGGACGUUCAUCUGGGGACGACUGAAAGGGCACUGGGAAGGAGAGAGGG